GAUGAACGCUGGCGGCGUGCUUAACACAUGCAAGUCGAACGAAGAUGCCGGAGUGCUUGCACUUUGGCAGACUGAGUGGCGGACGGGUGAGUAACGCGUGGGUAACCUGCCUUAUACAGGGGGAUAACAGUUGGAAACGACUGCUAAUACCGCAUAAGCGCACGGUAUCGCAUGAUACAGUGUGAAAAACUCCGGUGGUAUAAGAUGGACCCGCGUCUGAUUAGCUAGUUGGUGAGGUAACGGCCCACCAAGGCGACGAUCAGUAGCCGGCCUGAGAGGGUGAACGGGCCACAUUGGGACUGAGACACGGCCCAGACUCCUACGGGAGCAGCAGUGGGGAAUAUUGACUACAAUGGGGGAAACCCUGAUGCAGCGACGCCGCGUGGAGGAAGAAGGUCUUCGGAUUGUAAACUCCUAGUUGUUGGGGAA
rnacentral:rRNA from 1 species